rnacentral:rRNA from 1 species
AUUGAACGCUGGCGGCAGGCCUAACACAUGCAAGUCGAACGGAGUGGCGGACGGGUGAGUAACGCGUAGGUAACUGCCUCAUAGCGGGGGAUAACACUUGGAAACGAUAGCUAAUACCGCAUACUGUGAGAUGGACCUGCGUUGUAUUAGCUAGUUGGUGAGGUAAAGGCUCACCAAGGCGACGAUACAUAGCCGACCUGAGGGUGUGAUCGGCCCACUGUGGACCGAGACACCGCCCAGACCCCUACGGGGGGCCACAGUAGGGAAUCUUCGGCAAUGGACGGAAGUCUGACCGAGCAACGCCGCGUGAGUGAAGAAGGUUUUCGGGUCGUAAAGCUCUGUUGUUAGAGAAGCGGUACCUACCCAGAAAGCGACGGCUAACUACGUGCCAGCAGCCGCGGUAAUUC